rnacentral:antisense_RNA from 1 species
GCACUCGGAGCCCAGGGCAGGGUUCACAGAGCUAUUUUCAGUUCUCUUGCAGGAUCUCCUUCCCAGCCUUCAGAAAUUGCCGGUCUGGGAGUUGGGGGCAAGGAGAAGAUCCUGCAACCCAGUGAUUCCAUGGAAAGCAGAAAGAAGGACAUAAAGAAACGGAUACUUGGUGACAUCUUUGACUCACUGGAUCAAACCUUGCCUGAAGCUCACAUUUCUGAAAUUUCCAUAUACAAAACAAAUAAUUUCUCUUUAUUAUUUUACUAGAUUCGAGACAAGCUUUAAGUUUCUCAGACUCUUCCUCUUCUUAACAGAUUUAUCAGAAGCUGAAAGCUCUGAUCUUGUUGGGAUGCGGAUGUUGUCAGGAGAAGGCUUACUUUGCACGCUUUUCUUAGUCUGGUUGCCUAACUCAAGAACCUCGGCACGGCUCUGUUACUUCUCUACUCAGACAAGCAUCCCUGCAGACACUCACUAGGCUAACUCUGUCUUUAUUUUUAGAAUUAGACCUUUACGAGAAGCACAGUUUUGUCUUCAGUUUCCUCUCCCCCCACCCGGAAUGGCCUGAGCCGAAGCCAGCUCCCUCCGAGAAGUCAUUACCACCUGACUUGCGUUUGAUAUUUAGACACUUUGGUCACAACAUCUUGUGUUCUCUCGGGAUGCUGAUUUCUAACUGCUCUUUGGCCUUUCCUGCAUUGGUCCUCCUCAGGCAGGGGAUCCCUGCUCUUCUAUAUUAGUGAGAAAACCAAGGCUCAGAGAAACUAUGGAUUUUCUAAGGAUGCUGGCUCCCCAUCCCCUGUCCACCAUGAGUCAAAGCAAUGUGAGUCCCUCACCAGAUGCAACUGCCCAGUCUUGGACUUUCCAGCGACCAGAAUCAUGAGCCAAAUAAACCUCUUUUCUUUAUG